GGGAGCCAGGGAGGGGGUUGUCCAAGGGAGGGGGACGGUCAGGGUCUCUGGGAAGUGCUGACGUGUGCCCGCGUGCGGUGUGUCGCUUCUGGGCUCGUGUGCGGUCUGUAGUGUGUUUCGUGUGUGGUGUGUGCAUGUGCGUGUGCGCGCGCGUGUGUGCGGGUGGGCCGUGUGCGUGUGCACGCGGUUCGGGAUGAGCAAGGUCGCUGACUUUUAGGACUAGCCAUUUGAACCAAGCUGGAGGUGACGUCUUAGGCAGAACCGUGGAUGAGUCUCGUUUGGUUUUAGUCUACAAAGCGCUUCUGGAUCAGACAGGAAUUUUCCCCAGACGCGGGUGCACGUGAAUUAAUUCAUCAGAAGGCGGUUCACGGCCUGAGUGAGGGGGACGAGGGCGGCAAAUUCCUCCGCCUCAUUCCUACCCUGACGAUUCAAGGUGCUCGCUUCACCCCACGCAGGAGUAACUCAGUUUUGUGGGAUCCCACUGCCCUCCAGGUGCCGCUCCGAAUGCUCCACACAGCUUUUCAUUCAGUCCUUGCAGCUUGCUAAGGACUCACCUGAUGAGGCCAGGCCUACCAGAGGAACUCAGGAGCCGGUGCGUGCUGGAGUUGGCUGGCACUGGCUCCCGGAUGGAUUGCUGCAUUGCCAGGAGCUUUGCAAGCCAGUUAUUAGAUGCAGACAUUGCUGAAA